UAGAGUUUGAUCCUGGCUCAGAUUGAACGCUGGCGGCAUGCUUUACACAUGCAAGUCGAACGGCAGCACGGGUGCUUGCGCCUGGUGGCGAGUGGCGAACGGGUGAGUAAUGCAUCGGAACGUACCCAGUCGUGGGGGAUAACUAGUCGAAAGACUAGCUAAUACCGCAUACGUCCUGAGGGAGAAAGCGGGGGACCGAAAGGCCUCGCGCGAUUGGAGCGGCCGAUGUCAGAUUAGCUAGUUGGUGAGGUAAAGGCUCACCAAGGCGACGAUCUGUAGCGGGUCUGAGAGGAUGAUCCGCCACACUGGGACUGAGACACGGCCCAGACUCCUACGGGAGGCAGCAGUGGGGAAUUUUGGACAAUGGGGGCAACCCUGAUCCAGCCAUGCCGCGUGCGGGAAGAAGGCUUCGGGUUGUAAACCGCUUUCAGCCGGAAAGAAUCGUUCUCUCUAACAUAGGGAUGGAUGACGGUACCGGAAGAAGAAGCACGGCUAACUACGUGCAGCAGCCGCGGUAAUACGUAGGUGCGAGCGUUAUCCGGAAUUACUGGGCGUAAGCGUGCGCAGGC
rnacentral:rRNA from 1 species